ensembl:lncRNA
GAGCACUUACCCAGUGGAGGUCCGGAGCCAAGUGGCUGAACGAAGGAGAGUUACGUCGGUAAGACGAGUUAAUUAUCCGAUGAAAAGAUAGCUUGACGCUUACCGUCGUCGUCCAUGCUAAUGCUAGCUCUGUGCUUAGCAGGCUAACUGCUUGCCUGUCCUCCGGAGAGCUGUUACGAGGUUCGGCAUCGGCAUGCUCCACCUUGAUACACAGAGCAACGGUCAGGUUUUUUAGAGGACUGAAGAGUCUGAGGUUCAGGACAACUUCCUGCUGUAAAAGAUGGCGAGCCAACUACCCUGAUUGAAGAUUAGCACCGAGGAGAUAUUCACGUACACACUCAUUCACACAAAUAAUACACUCACAUUACACUACAAGGAACCUUGGAAUCAGGUGAACUUGCAACAACUCCUUUUAUUUUAAGGGCCCCAACAGACAUUUUUGUUUUAAGUGUGAACACUACUUUUUUUUAUUUUUCUUACCGUUUGGUAUAAUAUUUUGCAUUUUGUACGAACCAGACAAAUUACUUUGUUCACUGUAAAAUAUAAGAGUGGC